GAUGAACGCUGGCGGCGUGCCUAAUACAUGCAAGUCGAGCGAACGGACGAGAAGCUUGCUUCGCUGAUGUUAGCGGCGGGCGGGAGAGUAACACGUGGAUAACCUACCUAUAAGACUGGGAUAUCUUCGGGACACCGGAGGUAAUACCGGAUGAUAUCUUGAACCGCAUGGUUCAAAAGAGAAAGACGGUCUUGCUGUCACUUAUAGCUGGAUCCGCGCUGCAUUAGCUAGUUGGUAAGGUAACGGCUUACCACGGCAACGAUGCAUAGCCGACCUGUGAGGCUGGUCGGCGGCACUGGAACUGGACCGCGGUCCUGGCGCCUACGAGAGGCAGCAGACGGGAAUCUUCCGCAGUGGUCGAAAGCAUGACGGAGCAACGCCGCGUGAGAUAUGAAAGUCUUCGGAGCGUAAUACUCUGUUACUAGGGAUGAACCUCUGUCUAAGGAACUGUACACAGCUUGACGGUACCUAGUCAGAAAGCCACGGCUAACUACGUG
rnacentral:rRNA from 1 species